rnacentral:rRNA from 1 species
AUUGAACGCUGGCGGCAUGCUUUACACAUGCAAGUCGAACGGCAGCGCGGGCUUCGGCCUGGCGGCGAGUGGCGAACGGGUGAGUAAUACAUCGGAACGUGCCCAGUAGUGGGGGAUAGCUCGGCGAAAGCCGGAUUAAUACCGCAUACGACCUGAGGGUGAAAGCGGGGGAUCUUCGGACCUCGCGCUAUUGGAGCGGCCGAUGGCAGAUUAGCUAGUUGGUGGGGUAAAGGCCUACCAAAGCGACGAUCUGUAGCUGGUCUGAGAGGACGACCAGCCACACUGGGACUGAGACACGGCCCAGACUCCUACGGGAGGCAGCAGUGGGGAAUUUUGGACAAUGGGCGAAAGCCUGAUCCAGCAAUGCCGCGUGUGUGAUGAAGGCCUUCGGGUUGUAAAGCACUUUUGGCGGGAACGAAAAGGACUGUGCCAAUACCACGGUUCGAUGACGGUACCCGCAGAAUAAGCACCGGCUAACUACGUG